GACCCAAACUGAAAGAUCAGUCACUGAAGAAAAUAUGACAUCAUUUUGAAAAGAGAAUGCUGGGCAUGUCUAGCACAGUUGAAUGCUCUUGCACGGAGGUGUCACCACAUUGGUCUGAAGCAGGCAAAGAUCCACUUCCUCAGCACCCCAUGAAGAGUGUUUUGGAGAUGAUCAUAUCAAGAUUCCCUUCAACACCAGAGUGGAGAUCAUAUUAAAUCUCUGGUGUCGAAGAUUGCACCUUCAAGCUUCUCCUUGCUCUGUCCGCUGAGCAAAUUAUGGCCUGGCUGGUCCUUCACAACUCUGAUUACAUCAAGCUCCUCUCUGCUUCCAGGCCCACAAUGGUUGCCUCUGUACUUGAGUGAGAGUGAUGGUGGCCACAAAACAGUAAUGCGACACCUAAAAUUUGCCAGCAGCUUACUUCAUGUCCAGCCCUUUGCCACAUUAAUGACAUGCAUUAUCUCAAUCGGCUUUUCCAGAGGUCUCAAGAAUGACUUGCUGUUUCUCAGAUGAAGAGACCGAAGCACAGAGAUGUUAACUAUUUGCCCACAGCCAUGCAGUAGUGUUGAAAUAAAUUUCUAGGCCUGAGAUAGAGCCA
rnacentral:lncRNA from 12 species